CUACUCCCUAGGCGUUCUCCAAAGCAGGUGCCUGCUCCUUGGUUUUCGAUCGCCUGAUUUCGAGAUUUCGAGGUCCUUUUCUGAGUUCCUCAGGAAUUCUAGGUGUUUUUUUUUUCGCGAUCUCUCUGUUGAUGAUUCUUUCGGCUUCUGCGGUAGUGAUCCGUGCAUGAGAAUUGAUUUUUUAAUCUCCUGGGUUUGCUGAGAUUGCCUUCCAAUCUUGUAGUCAGUUAUAUAUAUUUGGGAUUUUUUGGUUCUUGAGGGUUUGGAAUUGAGACGAUCGAUCCUUUUAGAUUACGGAAUUGAGACGAUUCUAUGAUAUUUUGGAGGAGUUGAGAUUAUCAGUGUUGUUUUUAUCAUCUAUGCCGUCUUGCUCUCUCUAUCUACAUGUAUUUUUUUGGUUUUUGAGGGUUUGGAAUUGAGAUGAUCGAUCCUUUUAGAUUGCGGAAUUGAGACGAUUCUUCGAGAUUUUGGAGUCAAGAUGAUCGAUGUUGCUUUUAUUUUCUAUGCCGUCUUGCUCUCUCUAUGUUUUUAUUUCCUUAAAUCUUGGGUGUCCGUUCUUCCUGAAGAUUUUGGGAGUUUUUUAUGGGGCACUCGUCGUUCUUUCUCUUUCAUCGCUUCAUUUAUGUUCUGUAGUUUUUCUUUCAACGAUGUUGCGGCAGAUCUGAUGUGGUUUCCAUUGGAGGAGGAAAUAUUAGUCGUUCGUUAACAAGAUCUGCUUGGAGUUGUUGAUUGCAACAGAUAUUCAACCACGGCCUUGUUUCAUCUAAGAAAGGGGGUCUUCUUGAGGAGUUUUCCUUCAUCUGGAUUUUUCUUUUCGUACCGCACUUUUUUGUGAAUCUAUGUUGAGUGCCUCUUUUGGUUUAUUCAUUCUUCAGGGAGAGAAAGAUUCAUUGGGGCCCGCAUUAGGAGACAGCGAACUUUCCUAUUAUUGUAAAAAGGGGUUCUUUCUAAUCCUAUAAAUGUGCUUUGACAUUGCUUAUUUUGUGUUGUUCGUUUCUGUAUGCCUUCAGUAUGUUGGAAUUUCUAAAUGGCUCUGAUUUGGAUCUCAGGGCUGUGGAAUUAUCUUUAUGCAUCAACUAAUACAGCAAUUUGCAACAUGGUUUAUCGCUAAAGGGGGUUUCAUUGCUCAAAAUUUUCUCUUUGGUUCUGUUGGUGUGGUUUUUUGUCAAAUUUGUGAAACUACGUGCCAUGUUUGGCAUUUCAGGUUGCCGAUGGCAAUGACAAUGGACUAUCGACAACUAUUAGACGCCAACUAGAAAUAUAUGGCCGAUUUGCUUGUCAACUUUUUCCUUACUGGCUUCAGUGAAAUGGAUGGUCAUGAUCCUAUCAAUGAUAAUUUUGCCGGGUUCUUGGUCUAGAUUCUCAACUUCCAAUAUUUGGUCAUAUACUGCCAUUCCUAUGAUCAGUAUGUUUUCUAGAUGUUUAUUUGCAUCCUCUGGCUGUGAUGCAGACUUGCUGAAGAGUUUGGAAUUGAGGCGGUCUUCUGAAAUUUUUAAGAGUUUGGAAAUGAGAAGAUUCAUGUUCCUACUUGGAUGUUUCGCUUGUUUUUACUUUCUACUUGGUUUCUAUUCUUGUUAAAUUUUUUGGAAAUCCAUUACCUUACCUGCUUUGCCUUGUAAUGAUCCGGCUCUUUUGUGAUAGACAGGGCCUUUGUUUUGUGAACAUUCUGAUAGUUGCUUAUAGGUAAUCGUUCUUUUCUUCCCCCCUCUCAUUUGAUUUAGUUCUCUGUAUGCUAUGGCAUAUUUGAUAUGAAUUUCAUUGAUGGAUUUAUAUUAGCGUCAACAUAUUCUGAUGGUGGCAAAAGAGGGGUUUCUUUGAGAUAUGUAAACUUUUCCUACUCUUCCUUUUUUUUUUGUAUAUAUAUAUAUAUAAAUUUUGCUUUAGGUAGCUAAGUUGUUUUGACAUGUUAAGUGUCUCUGUCAGUUUCCUUUUCUUUAGGCAGGCAAGAUUUGUGGAGGUGGUGAUGGUAUGCGUCAAUCUGUCUUAAGGGGGUCCUCAUGUAAAACUAUCAUGGGAAGAUAACUAGUUUGCAGAAAAUUGAAAGCCUAUCUACCGAUUUGUAGCCCCAAAGAAAUCACGGAAGAACACCAAUAGAAAGUUUCCCUAUACAUAUAAAUAUACCUGCAAGAUGCUUAUCAUUUUGGUUCUUGAUCGCCUAAGAGAAUGAGACGAUGAUGAUCUGUUAACGCUAACAUGGAUGGUUCUUUGUCUAAAUUCAAAACUUUGACUCUGUUCCUUUAUUGCAAUUAUUGCGAUCAUUGUCUUUACCUCCUCUCUGUCUGUGAUGCAGACUUGUCUAGGAAUAUGGAAUUGGGAAGAUUUGCACUUGGAAAGGAUGUGAGAGUGUUCCAUCGAGUAACGAGUACAAGAUUGGCAGCAUGGCUUGCUGCUUGCUAUAAGGGGGUUUCAUUGCAGUGUUUUGUUUUGUUUUAUUCUGUGGGUGGUUAUUUCAGAUGUUUGUGAAAUCUAUUUAUCUAUUUUGCUUCUUUCAUGGUUCCAGAUGGAUAGACCUACAAAGUCCUUGUCAUUUUGGUUCUUGAUUGCUUCAGAGAAUGAGAUGGCGAUGAUGUAUGGAAUGCUAAUAUAGAGGGUUCUUUGUCUAGAUUCACAACUACAACUCUCUGUUCCUUUACUGCAAUUAUUGCGAUCAUUAUGUAUUUAGGUCCUCUCUGUCUGUGAUGCAGACUUGUCUAGGAAUAUGGAAUUGGGAAGAUUUGCACUUGGAAAUGGUUCUUAUUUGAAUCUCAGGGAUGCAGGUGUGUUCCAUCGAGUAACGAGUACAAGAUUGGCAGCAUGGCUUGCUGCUUUCUAUAAGGGGGUCUCGUUGCAGUGUUUUGAUUCUUUGAUUCUGUUGGUGGUUAUUUCAGAUGUUUGUGAAAUCUAUUUAUCUUUUUUGCUUCUUUCAUGGUUCCAGAUGGAUAGAACUUCGUUGUCCUUGUCAUUUUGGUUCUUGAUCACUUCGGAGAAUGAGAUGGCGAUGAUCUGUCGAAUGCUAAUAUCGAGGGUUCUUUGUCUAGAUUCACAACUUCAACUCUCAGUUCAUUUACUACAAUUAUUGCGACCAUCAUGUAUUCAGGUCCUCUCUGUCUGUGAUGCAGACUUGUCUAGGAAUAUGGAAUUGGGAAGAUUUGCACUUGGAAAGUAGGCGGCAAUUUGUCUCAUUAUUGGAGAAGGGGGUUUUCCAAAGAAUGUUCUUUCUUUAUGCAUGUGUUAUGUUGCUCAUCUGGUGUAUGCAUUGAAUAUGUUGUCAUAGUGGUUCUUAUUUGGAUCUCAGGGAUGCAAGUGUUCCAUUGAGCAAUGAGUACAAGAUUGGCAGCAUGGGUUGGUGCUUGCUAUAAGGGGGUCUCGUUGCAGUGCUUUGAUUCUUUGAUUCUGUCGGUGGCUAUUUCAGAUGUUUGAGGAAUCUAUUUAUCUCUUUUGCUUCUUUCAUGGUUCCAGAGAGAUAGACCUGGAAGAUCCUUGUCAUUUUGGUUCUUGAUCGCUUCGGAGAAUGAGAUGGCAAUGAUCUAUCAAACACUAAUAUCGAGGGUUCUUUGUCUAGAUUCACAACUUCAACUCUCUGUUCCUUUACUGCAAUUAUUGCGAUCAUUAUGUAUUUAGGUCCUCUCUGUCUGUGAUGCAGACUUGUCCAGGAAUAUGGAAUUGGGAAGAUUUGCAGUGGGAAAGUAGGCUGCAAUUUGUCUCAUUAUUGGAGAAGGGUUUUUUUGCGAUGAAUGUUCUCUCUUUAUGCUUGUGUUAUGUUGUUCAUAUGGUGUAUGCAUUUAAUAUGUUGUCAGAAUGGGUUCUUAUUUGGAUCUCAGGGAUGCGAGUGUGUUCCAUCGACUAAUGAGUACAAGAUUGGCAGCAUGCAUGGCUUGCUGCUUGCUACAAGGGGGUGUCGUUACAGUGCUUCGAUUCUUUGAUUCAGUUGGUGGUUAUUUCAGAUGUUUGUGAAAUAUAUGUGUCUGGCUUUUCAGGUUGGCGAUGGAUUAUUGCCGACUUCAAAAGCUUCAUCCCAGCACAUAGACGAUGGCAAGUCCCAAACAGUGUAGGGCUGGUACGUGUUAGGGAAGAGAACAUGGAGCGGUUGGGGAUCUAGAAUGUGGGGGAUGAUACUCGUUAAUUAUGAGCCGCGCCUUUGAAACUGAAAUGCCAUUAGCAUGAAGGGGUGUGCCUUUGCUGGAGUUGCUCUUUGUGAGCAACUCAUUUAUUGAGUAGUUUUGGUUCUUUCAUGGUUUUAAAGUAAAUACCCCACUCUGGUCACUUUUGUGCCUUUAGAGAACUAGAUGGUCAUAUCCAUAGCCUCUCUCUCUCCACAAAAAAUAAAAAUAAAAAUAAAAAUAAUAAAAAAAUCAAAAGAGGAGAAAAGAAAAAAAUAGAAGAAAUAUUAUAGUUAUUUUUAUUGUUGGAAAGUGUUGGACAGCCAAAAUCCUUUGUCAAUUUGGUCCUCAAUGUUUUCAAAGAAUCAAAUGAUCAUCUUUUACUGCAACUACUGUUAUCAUUAUGUAAUCUGGUUGUGUUUGUGUGGGUCCCUCUUGGCUGUGUUGCAGACUUGUUGAGUUUUUAGGAAUUUGGACUUGAGAAGAUUCCUGUUUGCACUCGGAAUUUGGAAGUAGGCCGCAAUUGGUCUCAAUAUUGUAGAUCUGGGUUUCUUAUAAAUUUACUUCGGGUAUGCUCGUGUUAUGUUGUGUACAUUUGAUAUGUUGAGUUUUCUCAGUGGGGCUGGUCUGAUUUGGAUCUGAGGGCGCUAUAUAAUUGGACUAUCUAUUGAUGAGCACAUGACUGGCCACAUGGUUUAUUGCUUGCGAAAGGGGGCGUCUCAUUGCAGAGUUUCCUCUAUUCUUCAUUUCUAUGGUUCGUUUAUAUCAUCAGGUUUCGUGAAAUCUACGUGUAUGCUUGGCUUUUCAGGUUUAGGCUUUCGAUUGAUUAUUGCUGACCCUAAUGCUCUAUCCAUCUUACCUGUAAAAAAAGGAUAAGAAAAAAAAGAGAAAAAAGCAAAAAAUUGAGAAAAAAGCUUUAUCGAUGAAAAGAGAGAGAAGACACCCAACUCCCACAACAUAUGGUAGUUGUUGAUUGCAGCAGACAUUGAACUGCCGCCUUAGAGGAAGAAAUAUUAGUCCUUUUUAUCAAGAUCCGCUUGGAGCUGUUGAUUGCAACAGAUUCAACCACUGCCUUGUUUUAUCUAAGAAAGGGGGUUUCUUUGAUGAGUUUUGCUAAAUCUGGAUUUCUCUUUUGGUAGCUCACAUAUUUGGUGAAUCUAUGUUGAGUACCUCUGUUGGUUUCUUCAUUCUUCAGGGAGUGCAAGAUUUGUGGGGCUUGCAUUAGGCGACUGCAACCUUUCCUAUGAUUGUAGAAGGGUUUUUUUUUCUACUCCUAUGAAUGUUCUUUGGCCAUGCUUAUUUUGUGUUUUGCUCAUUUCUGUAUGUAUUCAGUAUGUAAGAAUUUCUAAGUUGCUCUGAUUUGGAUCUCAGGGCUGUGGAGUCGUCUUUAUCCAUCAAUUAGUACUGGAUUUGACAACAUGGUUUAUCGCUAAAGGGGGUUUCAUUCCAGAAUUUCUUCUCUUUGGUUCCGUUGGUGUGUUUGUCAAAUUUUGAUGAAACUAUGUGCCGUGUUUGGCCUUUCAGGUUGUUGUUGGCAAUGGCAAUGGAUUAUCUACGACUGUAAAAUGCAAAAAUAGAAAUAGAUGCCAAGAUCCCUGGUCAAUUGUUCGAAUCCAUCAGUGAGGACAAGAUUGACAACAUGUUUUUCAGCUUGCUAAAAGGGGGUUUCAUUGCAGAGUUUCAAUUCUUUAAUUCUGAUUGUGGUUUAUGUUGCCAGUUGUUUGUGAAAUCUGUGUGUUUGUCUUUUCAGAUUGGUGUGCAAUUGUUUGCCGACUUUAAAGCUUUAUCCCAGCAAACAGAAGAUGCCAACUCCCAAAUCAGCGUAGGGUUGUCGUAGAGGAUGGAAUGGUUGAGGAUCGAGCAUGUGGGACAUGAUAUUUAGUCAUGAAUUGUUUCAUGCUUUUUAGGGAACUAUACGGUCAUGAUCUAUCCUUUUUGGUUCUUUCAUGGAUCCAGAUAGAUAUACCUGCAAGAUGCUUGCCAUUUUGGUUCUUGAUCGCCUCAGAGAAUGAGACGGUGAUGAUAUGUCAACGCUAAUAUGGAUGGUUCUUUGUCUAAAUUCACAACUUCUACUCUGUUCCUUUACUGCAAUUAUUGCGAUCAUUAUGUCUUUAGCUCCUCUCUCUCUGUGAUGCAAACUUGUCUAGGAAUAUGGAAUUGGGAAGAUUUGCACUUGGAAAGGAUGCAAGUGUGUUCCAUCGAGUAACGAGUACAAGAUUGGCAGCAUGGCUUGCCGCUUGCUAUAAGGGGGUCUCGUUGCAGUGUUUUGAUUCUUUGAUUCUGUUGGUGGUUAUUUCAGAUGUUUGUGAAAUCUACUAAUCUUUUUUGCUUCUUUCAUGGUUCCAGAUGGAUAGACCUUCAUUGUCCUUGUCAUUUUGGUUCUUGAUCGCUUCGGAGAAUGAGAUGGCAAUGAUCUGUCGAAUGCUAAUAUCGAGGACUUGUCUAGGAAUAUGGAAUUGGGAAGAUUUGCACUUGGAAAGUAGGCGGCAAUUUGUCUCAUUAUUGGAGAAGGGGGUUUUCCAAAGAAUUUUCUUUCUUUACGCAUGUGCUAUGUUGCUCAUCUGGUGUAUGCAUCGAAUAUGUUGUCAUAGUGGUUCUUAUUUGGAUCUCAGGGAUGCGAGUAUUCCAUUGAGCAAUGAGUACAAGAUUGGCAGCAUGGGUUGGUGCUUGCUAUAAGGGGGUCUCGUUGCAGUGUUUUGAUUCUUUGAUUCUGUUGGUGGCUAUUUCAGAUGUUUGUGGAAUCUAUUUAUCUUUUUUGCUUCUUUCAUGAUUCCAGAGGGAGAGACCUGGAAGAUCCUUGUCAUUUUAGUUCUUGAUCGCUUCGGAGAAUGAGAUGGUGAUGAUCUAUCAAACACUAACAUCGAGGGUUCUUUGUCUAGAUUCACAACUUCAACUCUCUAUUCCUUUACUGCAAUUAUUGCGAUCAUUAUGUAUUUAGGUCCUCUCCGUCUGUGAUGCAGACUUGUCUAGGAAUAUGGAAUUGGGAAGAUUUGCAGUGGGAAAGUAGGCGGCAAUUUGUCUCAUUAUUGGAGAAGGGGUUUUUGCAAUGAACGUUCUCUCUUUAUGCUUGUGUUAUGUUUGCUCAUAUGGUGUAUGCAUUUAAUAUGUUGUCAUAAUGGUUCUUAUUUGGAUCUCAGGGACGCGAGUGUGUUCCAUUGACUAAUGAGUACAAGAUUGGCAGUAUGCAUGGCUUGCCGCUUGUUACAAGGGGGUGUCGUUACAGUGCUUCGAUUCUUUGAUUCAGUUGGUGGUUAUUUUAGUUGUUUGUGAAAUCUAUUUGUUUGGCUUUUCAGGUUGGCGAUGGAUUAUUGCCGACUUCAAAAGCUUCAUCCCAGCACAUAGAUGAUGGCAAGUCCCAAACAAUGUAGGGCUGGUAUGUGUUAGGGAAGAGAACAUGGAGCGGUUGGGGAUCUAGAAUGUGGGGGAUGAUACUCGUUAAUUAUGAGCCGCACCUUUGAAACUGAACCACCAUUAGCAUGAAGGGGUGUGCCUUUGCUGGAGUUGCUCUUUGUGAGCAACUCAUUUAUUGAGUAGUUUUGGUUCUUUCAUGGUUUUAAAAGUAAAUACCCCACUCUGGUCACUUUUGUUCCUUUAGAGAACUAGACGGUCAUAUCCAUAGUUAUUUUUAUUGUUGGAAAGUGUUGGACAGCCAAAAUCCUUUGUAAAUUUGGUCCUCAAUAUCUUCAAAGAAUCAAAUGAUCAUCUUUUACUGCAACUACUGUUAUCAUUAUGUAAUCUGGAUGUGUUUGUUUGGGUCCCUCUUGGCUGUGUUGCAGACUCGCUGAGUUUUUAGGAAUUUGGACUUGAGAAGAUUCCUGUUUGCACUCGGAAGUUGGAAGUAGGCGGCAAUUGGUCUCAAUAUUGUAGAUCCGGGUUUCUUUGAAAUUUACUUCGGUUAUGCUCGUGUUAUGUUGUGUACAUUUGAUAUGUUGGGUUUUCUCAGUGGGGCUGGUCUGAUUUGGAUCUCAGGGCGGCUAUAUAAUUGGACUAUCUAUUGAUGAGCACAUGACUGGCAACAUGGUUUAUUGCUUGCGAAAGGGGGCGUCUCAUUGCAGAGUUUCCUCUAUUCUUCAUUUCCAUGGUUUGUUUAUAUCAUCAGAUUUCGUGAAAUCUACGUGUCUGCUUGGCUUUUCAGUUUUAGGCUUGCGAUUGAUUAUUGCUGACCCUAAUGGCUUUAUCCAUCUUACCUGUAAAAAAAGGAUAAGAAAAAAAAGAGAAAAACACAAAAAAGAGAGAACAAAGCUUUAUCGAUGAAAAGAGAGAGAAGACACACAACUCCCACAACAUAUGGUAGUUGUUGAUUGCAGCAGAUAUUCAACUGCCUCCUUGGGAGGAAGAAAUAUUAGUCCUUUUUAUCAAGAUCCACUCGGACCUGUUGAUUGCAACAGAUUCAACCACUGCCUUGUUUUAUCUAAGAAAGGGGGUUUCUUUGAUGAGUUUUGCUAAAUCUGGAUUUCUCUUUUGGUAGCUCACAUAUUUGGUGAAUCUAUGUUGAGUACCUCUGUUGGUUUCUUUAUUCUUCAGGGAGAGCGAGAUUUGUGGGGCCUGCAUUAGGAGACUGCAACCUUUCCUAUGAUUGUAGAAGGGUGUUUUUCUACUCCUAUGAAUGUUCUUUGGCCGUGCUUAUUUUGUGUUUUGCUCGUUUCUGUAUGUAUUCAGUAUGUAGGAAUUUCUAAGCUGCUCUGAUUUGGAUCUCAUGGCUGUGGAAUCAUCUUUAUCCAUCAAUUAAUGUAGGAUUUGGCAGCAUGGUUUAUCGAUAAUUGGGUGUUAAUUGUGGUUCCGUUGGUUGUCAUUGGCAAUAGCAAUGGAUUUUCGAUGACCGUAAGUUGCGAAAUGUAAGUUGUGAACUUCCAAACAACAUAAAGAAGCUGUGGAAUAGUUGAGGAUCCAGUGUAUGGGACAUGAUGAUAUCUAUAUAUUGAUGAUUUAUGAGCUGCUGGCUUUGAAACUCAAUUAUGCUAGAUAUGGCUCUUGCAAUUAGUAUGUUCUUUCUUGGUUCAAGAGGUAAAGAUUGAUGUGAUUGCUUUCAUACCUUCAGAGAACAAAAUGGUCACAAUUUAUAUUCUUUGGUUCCAGAGAAAUAGAUGGCCAAGAUGCCUGUCAAAAUUUUCCUUAAUAUCUUCAGAGAAACAGAUGGUCAUGGUCUUUAUCAAUGAUAAUAAUAUUGUCUUCUGGGUUCUUGGUCUAGAUUCUCCACUUCCAAUAUCCAGUGAGAGGGUACUGAAUCCGUAGACCAUCUCUUGCAUUGCCCACAUACUAGCCAGAUUUGGUUCCAGAUUUUGAGAUCUUUUAAGUGCAAUGGUGCUGCCCUUAGUCAGUGCUGCAACUAUUAUGGGUGUGGCUUGGAGUGCAUCUUACCAAAGGUCAAGCUGCCCAUGUGGAGGUUAUGCCUCCUUGCUAGUCUGUGGAAUAUUUGGGGAGAACAUGAUGCUUGGUGUUUCGACAACGCCCACAAUUUGGAGGCUAUGCCUGCUUGGUAGUCUGUGGAAUGUUUGAGAACAUAACGCGUGGUGUUUCGACAAUGCCCACAACUUGGGAGGUUAUGCCUGCUUGCUAGUCUGUGGAAUAUUUGGGGAGAACAAUGCCCACAACUUGGAGGUUAUGCCUGCUUGCUAGUCUGUGGAAUAUUUGGGGAGAAUGUAACGCUUGGUCGACAAUGCCCACAAUUUAUGGGAUGAGAUGCCUUUUGAGUGGGCCGUGGUUCUUCUGAACAUUGACUUGAAUGUAGCUUGCUCUAUUCUGUUAACUCAAUAUCCUGUAUUUUGUUUUUUGGCUGGCUUAUGCUGGUCCAAUUUUUAAUAAAAUUCCAUCCAUAGCUCUUCCAAAAAAAAAA